rnacentral:rRNA from 1 species
GACAGAGGGUGCAAACGUUGCUCGGAAUUACUGGGCGUAAAGCGCGUGUAGGCGGAUCGGAAAGUCGGGCGUGAAAUCCCCAGGCUCAACCUGGGAACUGCACCCGAAACUCCCGGUCUUGAGUGGUGGAGAGGGAAGUGGAAUUCCUGGUGUAGAGGUGAAAUUCGUAGAUAUCAGGAGGAACACCAGUGGCGAAGGCGGCUUCCUGGACACCAACUGACGCUGAGACGCGAAAGCGUGGGGAGCAAACAGG